UACGUAGGGGGCGAGCGUUGUCCGGAAUUAUUGGGCGUAAAGAGCGUGUAGGCUGUUCGGUAAGUCUGCCGUGAAAACCUGAGGCUCAACCUCGGGCGUGCGGUGGAUACUGCCGGGCUAGAGGACGGUAGAGGCGAGUGGAAUUCCCGGUGUAGAGGUGAAAUUCGUAGAUAUCGGGAGGAACACCGGUGGCGAAGGCGGCGACCUGGGUAGAUACUGACGCUGAGGCGCGAAAGCGUGGGGAGCAAACAGG
rnacentral:rRNA from 1 species